GGGAAUCUUCCGCAAUGGGCGAAAGCCUGACGGAGCAACGCCGCGUGAGUGAUGAAGGUUUUCGGAUCGUAGAACUCUGUUAUUAGGGAAGAAUAAAUGCGUAAGUAACUGUGCGCAUUUUGACGGUACCUAAUCAGAAAGCCACGGCUAACUACGUGCCAGCAGCCGCGGUAAUACGUAGGUGGCAAGCGUUAUCCGGAAUUAUUGGGCGUAAAGCGCGCGUAGGCGGUUUCUUAAGUCUGAUGUGAAAGCCCACGGCUCAACCGUGGAGGGUCAUUGGAAACUGGGAAACUUGAGUGCAGAAGAGGAAAGUGGAAUUCCAUGUGUAGCGGUGAAAUGCGCAGAGAUAUGGAGGAACACCAGUGGCGAAGGCGACUUUCUGGUCUGUAACUGACGCUGAUGUGCGAAAGCGUGGGGAUCAAAC
rnacentral:rRNA from 1 species